rnacentral:lncRNA from 1 species
CAGUCAUAAGACCACACCAAACUUCAAGGUAUGCUAGGAAAUGUGGUCUAGCUAUAUGCCCAGAAAGAAGAAAAUGGAUUUGAGUGAACAACUUCAGACUACGAAAAUACAGAAAGAAGAUUCGGGCAUGUGGAUAACAAAGAACAAGAAAGCAUCACAGAAGCAUUUUACAGGGAAGAUAUAAAAGGCUACAUCAGGGGGCGGACAGCCAGUUGCUAUUUUAUACUGAAGGUCUUGUGUUUACUGUCAUGGAAAUAAAUUUUGCAU